UACCAUGGAAACCACUGACCCCUGUUUUGU
rnacentral:piRNA from 1 species